rnacentral:rRNA from 1 species
GUGCCAGCAGCCGCGGUAAUACGAAGGGUGCAAGCGUUAAUCGGAAUUACUGGGCGUAAAGCGCGCGUAGGUGGUUCAGCAAGUUGGAUGUGAAAUCCCCGGGCUCAACCUGGGAACUGCAUCCAAAACUACUGAGCUAGAGUACGGUAGAAGGUGGUGGAAUUUCCUGUGUAGCGGUGAAAUGCGUAGAUAUAGGAAGGAACACCAGUGGCGAAGGCGACCACCUGGACUGAUACUGACACUGAGGUGCGAAAGCGUGGGGAGCAAACAGGAUUAGAUACCCCUGGUAGUCC